CCUACGGGUGGCAGCAGUGAGGAAUAUUGGUCAAUGGGCGAGAGCCUGAACCAGCCAAGUCGCGUGAGGGAAGACGGUCCUACGGAUUGUAAACCUCUUUUGUCAGGGAGCAAGGAGCGCCACGAGUGGUGCGGCGAGAGUACAUGAAGAAAAAGCAUCGGAUAACUCCGUGUCAGCAGCCGCGGUAAGACGGAGGAUGCGAGCGUUAUAAGGAUUUAUAGGGUGUAAAGGGUGCGCAAGCGGAAGCGGCAGGUCAGCGGUAAAAUUGCGGGGCUCAACCUCGCCGAGCCGUUGAAACUGCUCUUCUAGAGUGGGCGAGAAGUAUGCGGCAUGCGUGGUGUCGCGGUGAAAUGCAUAGAUAUCACGCAGAACUCCGAUUGCGAAGGCAGCAUACCGGCGCCCAACUGACGCUCAUGCACGAAAGCGUGGGUAUCGAACAGGAUUAGAUACCCCUGUAGUC
rnacentral:rRNA from 1 species